AAUAUCAGGUAGAGAACAAAUAAUGUAUUAGUAAAAGUAUGUCCCAUGCAAUACUGGGGACAUACUUAUACUAAAACACUGCUCAUUUAAAUGCUAUUCAGAAUUAACU
rnacentral:miRNA from 1 species